rnacentral:rRNA from 1 species
AGCGUAGACGGUGUGGCAAGUCUGAUGUGAAAGGCAUGGGCCCAACCCUGUGGACUGCAUUGGAAACUGUCAUACUUGAGUGCCGGAGGGGUAAGCGGAAUUCCUAGUGUAGCGGUGAAAUGCGUAGAUAUUAGGAGGAACACCAGUGGCGAAGGCGGCUUACUGGACGGUAACUGACGUUGAGGCUCGAAAGCGUGGGGAGCAAACA